rnacentral:rRNA from 1 species
CGAAAGGAAGAUUAAUACCCCAUAAUAUAUUUGAUGGCAUCAUUAGAUAUUGAAAACUCCGGUGGAUAGAGAUGGGCACGCGCAAGAUUAGUUAGUUGGUGAGGUAACGGCUCACCAAGGCGAUGAUCUUUAGGGGGCCUGAGAGGGUGAUCCCCCACACUGGUACUGAGACACGGACCAGACUCCUACGGGAGGCAGCAGUGAGGAAUAUUGGACAAUGGGUUAGCGCCUGAUCCAGCCAUCCCGCGUGAAGGACGACGGCCCUAUGGGUUGUAAACUUCUUUUGUAUAGGGAUAAACCUACUCUCGUGAGAGUAGCUGAAGGUACUAUACGAAUAAGCACCGGCUAACUCCGUGCCAGCAGCCGCGGUAAUACGGAGGGUGCAAGCGUUAUCCGGAUUUAUUGGGUUUAAAGGGUCCGUAGGCGGAUCUGUAAGUCAGUGGUGAAAUCUCACAGCUUAACUGUGAAACUGCCAUUGAUACUGCAGGUCUUGAGUAAAUUUGAAGUGGCUGGAAUAAGUAGUGUAGCGGUGAAAUGCAUAGAUAUUACUUAGAACACCAAUUGCGAAGGCAGGUCACUAAGAUUUAACUGACGCUGAUGGACGAAAGCGUGGGGAGCGAACAGGAUUAGAUACCCUGGUAGUCCACGCCGUAAACGAUGCUAACUCGUUUUUUGUGAUUCGUCAUGAGAGACUAAGCGAAAGUGAUAAGUUAGCCACCUGGGGAGUACGUUCGCAAGAAUGAAACUCAAAGGAAUUGACGGGGGCCCGCACAAGCGGUGGAUUAUGUGGUUUAAUUCGAUGAUACGCGAGGAACCUUACCAAGACUUAAAUGGGAGUUGACAGAUUUAGAAAUAGAUCCUUCUUCGGGCAAUUUUCAAGGUGCUGCAUGGUUGUCGUCAGCUCGUGCCGUGAGGUGUUAGGUUAAGUCCUGCAACGAGCGCAACCCCUGUCGCCAGUUGCUACCAUUCAGUUGAGGACUCUGGCGAGACUGCCUACGCAAGUAGAGAGGAAGGUGGGGAUGACGUCAAAUCAUCACGGCCCUUACGUCUUGGGCCACACACGUAAUACAAUGGCCGGUACAGAGGGCAGCUACACAGCGAUGUGAUGCAAAUCUCGAAAGCCGGUCUCAGUUCGGAUUGGAGUCUGCAACUCGACUCUAUGAAGCUGGAAUCGCUAGUAAUCGCGCAU